CCAGGUACGUGCACUGCGGGGGACACGGGGGGCUGGCACCUGCAGCGCUCAGGGUACCCUCCCCUGCAGCCACUCGGGCCCAGGAAGGGAUAUGGGGGGGCUGAGACCUGGCACACUCAGUGCACCUUCCUCUGCCCCAAGCAGGUGCACUGGGAGGGAUAUGGGGGGGCUGAGACCUGGCACACUCAGUGCACCUUCCUCUGCAGUCACCUUGGCCCAGGAAGCCGCUCUGGAGGGCACGUGGACAGGCUGAGACCUGGCACACUCAGUGCACUGUCCCCAAGAGCCACCCUGGCCCAGGCAGGUGCUCCGGAGGGGGUGUGAGGGGCUGAGACCUGACACACUCAGUGCACCCUCCCCUGCGGCCGCCCUGGCCGCAGCACGGUCUCACCUGGACUUUGUCCCCGGGCUGGUGGGUGGCAGCGGGGAC